CAGCAGUGGGGAAUUUUGGACAAUGGGCGCAAGCCUGAUCCAGCCAUGCCGCGUGAGUGAAGAAGGCCUUCGGGUUGUAAAGCUCUUUCGCAAGGAAAGAAAACUUAUCUACUAAUACUAGGUGAGGUUGACGGUACCUUGAUAAGAAGCACCGGCUAACUACGUGCCAGCAGCCGCGGUAAUACGUAGGGUGCGAGCGUUAAUCGGAAUUACUGGGCGUAAAGCGUGCGCAGGCGGUUUUGUAAGUCAGAUGUGAAAUCCCCGGGCUCAACCUGGGAACUGCGUUUGAAACUACAAGGCUAGAGUGUAGAAGAGGGGGGUAGAAUUCCACGUGUAGCAGUGAAAUGCGUAGAGAUGUGGAGGAAUACCGAUGGCGAAGGCAGCCCCCUGGGCUAACACUGACGCUCAUGCACGAAAGCGUGGGGAGCAAACAGGAUUAGAUACCCUGGUAGUCCACGCCCUAAACGAUGUCUACUAGUUGUUGGAGGAGUAAAAUCCUUUAGUAACGCAGCUAACGCGUGAAGUAGACCGCCUGGGGAGUACGGUCGCAAGAUUAAAACUCAAAGGAAUUGACGGGGGCCCGCACAAGCGGUGGAUUAUGUGGAUUAAUUCGAUGCAACGCGAAAAACCUUACCUGGCCUUGACAUGCCACUAACGAAGCAGAGAUGCAUUAGGUGCCCGAAAGGGAAAGUGGACACAGGUGCUGCAUGGCUGUCGUCAGCUCGUGUCGUGGGAUGUUGGGUUAAGUCCCGCAACGAGCGCAACCCUUGAUCUUAGUUGCCAGCAUUCAGUUGGGCACUCUAAGGUGACUGCCGGUGACAAACCGGAGGAAGGUGGGGAUGACGUCAAAUCAUCAUGCCCCUUAUGACCUGGGCUACACACGUGCUACAAUGGAUGGUACAAAGGGCUGCAAACCCGCGAGGGCAAGCCAAUCCCAUAAAACCAUUCUCAGUUCGGAUUGUAGGCUGCAACUCGCCUACAUGAAGCUGGAAUCGCUAGUAAUCGUGGAUCAGCAUGCCACGGUGAAUACGUUCCCGGGCCUUGUACACACCGCC
rnacentral:rRNA from 1 species